AGCCGCCGCCAGGCCAACCCCCCAUCCCUUCCAUUUUUAUUUUUAUUUUUAUUUUUUUUCUUUUCUUUUCCUCUCGACACCAGCCAAACAGCCACCCUCCCCUGGUUUGAAAUUUGUUUUUUCUCCGACAGACAGCCGGCCAAAGUUUCUUCUCCACAGAGAGCCGGCCAAAGUUUUUUUUUUCUUUCAUAGAGCAGCCGUUCCCCUCACACAGCCCUCAUUUUCUCCUUUCUUCUUCUCCAGCUUGCGCCAGUUCCCUCUGCCCUCAUUUCCUUCAACAGCCUGCCUAUUUUCUUCCUCCUUCGGUUUCAAUCAACGCCGGUUUUCUUCUCAGCCGACAACACAGACCAGCAGCCGCCAGCUCCACCGUAGCUUCAACAGCCCGAGCUCAGCCUCACACCGGAUCAGACCUCCCUUCCCUCAGCCACCGGGCAACAGUCGACCCAUCGCCCUCCACAGCAGCGACGGCCACUACCCCUUUCUCCCUCUCCGGGUCAACGAACAGGCCCGACCACAGCAGCAAGCAACCACCGAUCUCCUCCUUCAAUCGACCACCGCCACCUGAAACAGAGAAGGAUGAGAAAGCAAAGGAAGAGAAAUUGAGAAGAAGAGAAGGAGAAGCAGAUCUGAUAAAAAGAAGAAAAAACCGAAAAAGAUCUCUAAAAAAAACAAAGGAAAUAAAAUCUAAAAUCAACUGUUUGCGGCCUUUAUUUUGCGUUCUUGUGGCAGGUGAAGGUGGCGGUGACCACCGGCGAAGAAGAAGGGAGGAUCUCCCCUGCUUUUUUUUUUGGGCGGCGCGUGAACCCACGCGCCGCCAGUGACGGUAGCGCGUGGAGCAACGCGCCGCCCGUGUUCAGCUGCCCAGAAUGUGUUUCCGACACUGUUCCUGUGAUGCCUUAUAAAUUCCAGAUUAUGUUGGGGCUGUUUUUUUUGUUGUAAAUUUUAAAUUAAUUAAUGUAAUUUUUAUUUUGUUGUUUGAAUUUGUAUUGUAUAAAUGUGAUGUAAAAAAAAAAAAAA
rnacentral:lncRNA from 1 species